rnacentral:tmRNA from 1 species
GGGGCUGACUUGGAUUUGACAGCAAUGGUAAAUAAUUAGUGUAAGCAUGUCGAGACAUGUGGUGAGUCUCGUUAAUCCCUGGUCACAAACGAUAAUUGACAACACGUCAUACAACCUCGCAGCGUAAUAGUCGAUAGACUUUAUGCUUAAUCCACUCCGAAGAACAGUAAGAGGGACGAGUUUCUCGCCAGGUCUCCUGUUCCUUGAGAUCUGGGUCACGAGAAAUCAACAAUUUGGAACUAGUGAUGCGCCGGCUUCUGUCGUAUCGCGAAAUUUGAUGAAGAUAAGUCAUGGUUAGGGUGUUCGUGUCCGUUCCAUGAUCGAAAAAACAAUCGCGAACUAAACAUGUAGAAAGCUAAUCGUUUCAUUGUUUGGACGAGGGUUCGAACCCCUCCAGCUCCACA